AAGAAAUACAGUAAUUCCAAAGAUAAUGUUCCUAUACUACUUUGUUCUUUACAUUUGUUCAGUUUUGCUCAUUUCAUCUUUUGAGUAGUAAACUGCUACUUUUGAAAAGUUUAAGCUUUUUACCAGUUUUUUUUUUGCUAUAAAAAUCUAGUUUGAAAAGCUCAAGUUUUUAGAACUGAAAAGACAAUUUAAGUAAAAACAAACUAAAAAACCCACAACAGUUUAUUGAAGCAAUAAUCAAAGUAAUUUUCUGCCUUGGUCUAAAACCAUUGAUUCUGUUUUUAAAUUUUUAUGCAUAAAUCCCAUGGAAAUUUUUUACAAAAGCUUUUUUGUUCCUUGCCUGUCAUAUUAUGUGUUUCCCAAAAUAGAGUUAUAGGUGUUAAAAGAAUGAUUUAUACAUAUGCACAUUUGAUUUAUGCUUCCUGUCACAUCUUUGAUGUUCUAGAUCAUUCCUAAUGAUUAUGUUCUUGAAAGUUUUGCUAACUGGAUGUUUGGAAAUCACAUGUAUUUUCCUACAGAAGUUACAGUGUAAGUGGUACUUAACUUUAGAGAUUUGAUGUUAAUAUUUCUUUCCCAACCACUGUGUG
rnacentral:lncRNA from 1 species